ncrna:unclassified sequences Transposase-2 RNA
GAAGCGCGAACCAAGCGGCGGCGAAAGCCGCGUGAGACUUGGAGCUGACCUUGGUAACGAGGCCAUGCA